UACGAAGGGGGCUAGCGUUGCUCGGAAUCACUGGGCGUAAAGCGCACGUAGGCGGAUUGUUAAGUCAGGGGUGAAAUCCUGGAGCUCAACUCCAGAACUGCCUUUGAUACUGGCGAUCUUGAGUCCGGGAGAGGUGAGUGGAACUGCGAGUGUAGAGGUGAAAUUCGUAGAUAUUCGCAAGAACACCAGUGGCGAAGGCGGCUCACUGGCCCGGUACUGACGCUGAGGCACGAAGGCGUGGGGAGCAAACAGG
rnacentral:rRNA from 1 species